rnacentral:tRNA from 1 species
UAGGCAGAAGCCCGUUGGUUUGGGCAUAUGGCUGUUAACCAUAUAUUUCGUGGGAUCGAGGCCCAUCUGUCUAG